rnacentral:rRNA from 1 species
ACAUGCCUACAACAUAAGGUUAAUGCACCAGAUCCCAUUGGAAAUCCGUAGUUAAGCGCGCCCGAGCUAGAGUAGUACUUGGAUGGGUGACCGUUUAGGAAGUAUAAGUGUUUUACAUGCU